GACGAACCGUCCUAACGUUGUUCGGAAUCACUGGGCUUAAAGGGCGCGUAGGCGGCCUUGAAAGUCGGGGGUGAAAUCCCACGGCCUAACCGUGGAAGUGCCUCCGAUACUGCAAGGCUCGAGGGAGGUAGGGGCAGCUGGAACGUUCCGGUGGAGCGGUGAAAUGCGUUGAUAUCGGAAGGAACGCCGGUGGCGAAAGCGAGCU
rnacentral:rRNA from 1 species